UAACACGUGGGUAACCUGCCCCGAUGACCGGGACAACCCGAGGAAACUCGGGCUAAUACCGGAUGUGGUGUACACACAUAAGUGUGUCCAUCAAAGGAAGCUUCGGCCUCCACAUCGGGUUGGGCCCGCGGCCCAUUAGCUUGUUGGUGAGGUAACGGCUCACCAAGGCGACGAUGGGUAGCUGGUCUGAGAGGACGAUCAGCCACACUGGGACUGAGACACGGCCCAG
rnacentral:rRNA from 1 species